rnacentral:rRNA from 1 species
UUAUGGAGAGUUUGAUCCUGGCUCAGGACGAACGCUGGCGGCGUGCCUAAUACAUGCAAGUCGAGCGGAUCGAUGGGAGCUUGCUCCCUGAGAUCAGCGGCGGACGGGUGAGUAACACGUGGGUAACCUGCCUGUAAGACUGGGAUAACUCCGGGAAACCGGGGCUAAUACCGGAUAACACCUACCCCCGCAUGGGGGAAGGUUGAAAGGUGGCUUCGGCUAUCACUUACAGAUGGACCCGCGGCGCAUUAGCUAGUUGGUGAGGUAACGGCUCACCAAGGCGACGAUGCGUAGCCGACCUGAGAGGGUGAUCGGCCACACUGGGACUGAGACACGGCCCAGACUCCUACGGGAGGCAGCAGUAGGGAAUCUUCCGCAAUGGACGAAAGUCUGACGGAGCAACGCCGCGUGAGUGAAGAAGAUUUUCGGAUCGUAAAACUCUGUUGUUAGGGAAGAACAAGUGCCGUUC